GCCAGCGUGGCAUAGUGGUUUGAGUGUUGGACUACAAUUCUGAAGGCUAGGGUUCGAUUUCCAGGUCAGCCA